rnacentral:rRNA from 1 species
UGAGGAAUAUUGGGCAAUGCCCGCGAGGGUGACCCAGCAACGCCGCGUGGAGGAUGAAUGUCGUAAGAUUGUAAACUCCUGUUAGAGGGGAAGAAUAGUACCGGUUGGACCGGUAUAUGACUGUACCCUCAGAGAAAGCCCCGGCUAACUACGUGCCAGCAGCCGCGGUAAUACGUAGGGGGCAAGCGUUGUCCGGAUUUACUGGGUGUAAAGGGCGCGCAGGCGGGAUAAAAAGUCAGUGGUGAAAUCCUACAGCUUAACUGUAGAACUGCCUUUGAUACUUUUAUUCUUGAGUUCGGGAGAGAGAGACGGAAUUCCAGGUGUAGUGGUGAAAUACGUAGAUAUCUGGAAGAACACCAGUUGCGAAGGCGGUCUCUUGGUCCGAUACUGACGCUGAGGCGCGAAAGCGUGGGGAGCAAACA